rnacentral:rRNA from 1 species
GACGAACGCUGGCGGCGUGCUUAACACAUGCAAGUCGAACGGAAAGGCCCUACUUUUGUGGGGUGCUCGAGUGGCGAACGGGUGAGUAACACGUGAGUAACCUGCCCUUGACUUUGGGAUAACUUCAGGAAACUGGGGCUAAUACCGGAUAGGAGCUCCUGCUGCAUGGUGGGGGUUGGAAAGUUUCGGCGGUUGGGGAUGGACUCGCGGCUUAUCAGCUUGUUGGUGGGGUAGUGGCUUACCAAGGCUUUGACGGGUAGCCGGCCUGAGAGGGUGACCGGCCACAUUGGGACUAAGAUACGGACCAGACUCCUACGGGAGGCAGCAGUGGGAAAUAUUGCACAAUGGGCGGAAGCCUGAUGCAGCAACGCCGCGUGCGGGAUGACGGCCUUCGGGUUGUAAACCGCUUUCGCCUGUGACGAAGCGUGAGUGACGGUAAUGGGUAAAGAAGCACCGGCUAACUACGUG